AUUGAACGCUGGCGGCAUGCCUUACACAUGCAAGUCGAACGGCAGCAUGGGAGCUUGCUCCUGAUGGCGAGUGGCGAACGGGUGAGUAAUGCAUCGGAACGUGCCCUGAAGUGGGGGAUAACGUAGCGAAAGUUACGCUAAUACCGCAUAUUCUGUGAGCAGGAAAGCAGGGGAUCGCAAGACCUUGCGCUGAUUGAGCGGCCGAUAUCAGAUUAGCUAGUUGGUGAGGUAAAGGCUCACCAAGGCGACGAUCUGUAGCGGGUCUGAGAGGAUGAUCCGCCACACUGGAACUGAGACACGGUCCAGACUCCUACGGGUGGCUG
rnacentral:rRNA from 1 species